ensembl:lincRNA Gm14230 predicted gene 14230
AUGCCGCAUGGCCGGGGCCCGGGGCGGAGCGGUGGGACCAGGGCUCCCGGAGUCAGCUCCAGGGCAGGAAGUGGCCCGCUCCUCCUUUCAGUGAGUGUUUCCGGAGCGCCUACUGUGUGCUCCUCCAUGGGGGUGGGGGCACUACCAGGCACAAAGGGUGCCAGUCCCCGUACCUUUGAGCCUCUGGUGGGCAGUCACAAGCCCACGGAUUCCACCAGUGACCCCAGGCCUGCUCACAUGAGUGACGUGUUCCUCCCCAUGGCCAGCAGCAGAGCGGACUGAAUGCUGGGUGACAGGCUGGCCUCAGACUCCGGUGCUCAAGGAUAUUCUUGCUUCAGGUUCCCAAAUAGCACUGCACACGUGAAUCCCCAUGCCUGAUGG